GUGGGGAAUAUUGCACAAUGGGCGAAAGCCUGAUGCAACAACGCCGCGUGAGUGAUGAAGGUCUUCGGAUUGUAAAGCUCUGUCUUUUGGGACGAUAAUGACGGUACCAAAGGAGGAAGCCACGGCUAACUACGUGCCAGCAGCCGCGGUAAUACGUAGGUGGCGAGCGUUGUCCGGAUUUACUGGGCGUAAAGGGUGCGUAGGCGGAUGUUUAAGUGAGAUGUGAAAUACCCGGGCUUAACUUGGGUGCUGCAUUUCAAACUGGAUAUCUAGAGUGCAGGAGAGGAGAAUGGAAUUCCUAGUGUAGCGGUGAAAUGCGUAGAGAUUAGGAAGAACACCAGUGGCGAAGGCGAUUCUCUGGACUGUAACUGACGCUGAGGCACGAAAGCGUGGGUAGCAAACAGGAUUAGAUACCCUGGUAGUCCACGCCGUAAACGAUGAGUAC
rnacentral:rRNA from 1 species